AAAUACUGCAUUACAGCAUUACUACUCUAGCAGUCCAGCCCAAUAGGCGGCCCAACCGACUCCAAUACUUCAAUUCCAAAGUAAAAUUAGGGUUUUUACACUUUCAGUUUUCACAUUCAACAUUUCAACUUCCUCAAAACAAAGAGAGAGAAAGAGAGACCCUAAGCGAGUAACACUAAGCGUCGCUCUCCAAUCUCCACCUUCAGCGAUUUCAUCCAUCUUGUUUGGCCAUGGAGGAACACAUGUCGACCUCUUCAACUGGAAGCCCCUCACUGCCAAUUUGGAAAUAGUCAAAGAGGAAAUUUCUACUCUUCUUAGAUCAGUUGGUACUUGGUAGUUGGUACACUGCUGACUGCUCAUAUGAUAUUCUGUCAAUUCUGAUGUAGUGAUGUAUGAACCAUAGAUUUACAUAGGUGGUUUUUACAGUAUUAAAUAUUUACAGGUGGUUUUUUUUUCAUUUAACUAAAUAUUUACAGUAUUAAAUAUGUACAAAUUAAUGUGACUAUUA